UGCUGAUCUCAUCUUCACACUUGAUCGAUCAGACACACGCGAGAGAUCAAACGAUCGCGUAACGGUUUGACAUUUUUGUCAAUACGAUUUUAAUUUUUAUAAAUUUGACUAUUUUCUUUCGGCAAAAUAAACAUCGACGAACCAAAAUGGCUAGUCCCGCGGUAACAUAUAGAGAUGGAGAGGUCGAUUUACAUUUAAAUCCUGAAGAAGAUGGUAGUUUGGACGCAGAAAGUGACUCAAGCCGUUUAAUUGGCACAAUCAGUGAAAGAUCUCGGAGUAACAUAAGGUCUGCCAGGUUUUGGCGAAGAAAUUGUUAUUCCAUCUUCGGCCUUAGUAUUUUCAUCAUCGUUUGCGCUGUGGCUAUUGUUCGGUUGGCUAUAAAAGUUAGCCCCAGUAACGCACCUGAACAUGGACCUGCACCAGAAGCAAUCACAAUGGGAGUAAACGCCAAAGAGGGGGAAUUCCCGUAUCAAGCUUUGGUUUAUAACAAUUUCACGGAACUUAUAUGCGGUGGUUCCAUAUAUAACAAACGUUUUAUUAUAACUGCAGCUCAUUGUGUAACAGAUCUAGAGAAUGGGACAGUACAUGAUCCCGCCAAUAUCAUAGUGAGAGUUGGACUUACCAGAAUAGAUGACCUAAACGCUAUAGAAAGAACUGCGUACAAAGUCCAUGUCCAUUACUUAUUUGGAGACCCUAACUAUCCUUACAUUGCCGACAUCGCUUUAAUCGAAGUAAAAGAAGAUAUUAUUUUCAAUAAAAAAAUUCAACCUAUUCGACUUUCUAAGAGACUAGAGGAUACUAAGGAAGGAACACCAGUAACUAUUACCGGUUGGGGAGAGACGUGGCCCUACUCAAAAUUGAUUGGAAACGUGCAAUGAAUGCAACAACGGUCCGACGAACUAUGUUUUGCAUGUCACCAGAACAGUCUUCUUGCUAUGGUGAUUCUGGAGGUCCCAUAGUUAACAAGGAUAAAGUUCAAGUAGGUAUAGUCUAUUACAGUUUCGACUGUGGCGUGAACACGACAGUUCCA
rnacentral:misc_RNA from 1 species